rnacentral:ncRNA from 1 species
UGUCCAUGUACAGAUACGCAAUGAGGCUGUUACAUUCGGUAAUGUGAAUGAUUAGAGGAAUUGUGGGACGAAACGUCUUCAACCUAUUCUCAAACCUUCAAUGUGUAUGACGCCUUGCUUGCUUGAAUGAAGAUUAGACAAUGAAUGUGUGCUUCAAGUGGGCCAUUUUUUGUAAAAAGAAUUGGCGCUGUGUGAUGAACCA